AUAGCACUUUUCACAGGUCCACCCCAGCUGUGGGGCUAGGAUUUGGUAGCUGGUGCUGAAAAUAACCCUU
rnacentral:snoRNA from 1 species